rnacentral:ncRNA from 1 species
CAGAGUAGAAUAAUGAGCGUAAAGAACCGAAUUUAUUUUCGGUCAAGUGUCCGCAGGACGGGGAGUUGUCUGCGGAACGAAAAACGUUUAUACGUUUGCGGUUCAUUAUUCGCAUCCCGCUG